rnacentral:misc_RNA from 1 species
AAGUCGUAACAAGGUUUCCGUAGGUGAACCUGCGGAAGGAUCAUUAUUUGAUCUGAAUUGGCGGCAUUUGAAAAAUGCAGCCUUUUUGCUUUGUGAACUGUCUUGUACUGUUGUUUUUUUUAAUAGUUGCUUUUUUUCUUCGGAAAAAAAAUAAAGACAACUUUCAGCAAUGGAUCUCUUGGCUCUG